GCGGCGGAUUAGGUAGUUGGUGGGGUAACGGCCUACCAAGCCGAUGAUCCGUAGGGGGCGUGAGAGCGUGGCCCCCCACACUGGCACUGAGACACGGGCCAGACUCCUACGGGAGGCGGCAGUGAGGAAUAUUGCACAAUGGGCGCAAGCCUGAUGCAGCAACGCCGCGUGAGGGACGAAGGCCUUCGGGUUGUAAACCUCUUUUCUGAGGGACGAGGAAGGACGGUACCUCAGGAAUAAGUCUCGGCUAACUACGUGCCAGCAGCCGCGGUAAAACGUAGGAGGCGAGCGUUAUCCGGAUUUACUGGGCGUAAAGCGCGCGCAGGUGGCUUCGUGAGUCGGACAUGAAAGCUCCUGGCUUAACUGGGAGAGGCUGUUCGAUACUGCGGGGCUUGAGGUUGGGAGAGGGACGCGGAAUUCCCGGUGUAGUGGUGGAAUGCGUAGAUAUCGGGAGGAACACCAGUGGCGCAAGCGGCGUCCUGGCCCACACCUGACGCUGAGGUGCGAAAGCGUGGGUAGCAAACAGGAUUAGAUACCCUGGUAGUCCACGCCGUAAACGAUGUCAACUGGGUGUCGGUAGUUUUACACUAGCGGUGCCGAAGCUAACGCG
rnacentral:rRNA from 1 species